UACGAAGGGGGCUAGCGUUGCUCGGAAUUACUGGGCGUAAAGCGCACGUAGGCGGAUCGUUAAGUCGGGGGUGAAAUCCUGGAGCUCAACUCCAGAACUGCCUUCGAUACUGGCGAUCUCGAGUUCGGGAGAGGUGAGUGGAACUGCGAGUGUAGAGGUGAAAUUCGUAGAUAUUGGGAAGAACACCGGUGGCGAAGGCGGCGCACUGGCUCGUAACUGACGCUCAGGCGCGACAGCGUGGGGAGCGAACAGG
rnacentral:rRNA from 1 species